CAAUCCCAAGUAAAGUGGCGCACGGGUGAAUAACGCGUAGGUAAUCUACCCCAAAAUCUGGAAUAACCUGCCGAAAGGCGGGCUAAUACUGGAUAGAGCGACGGAAUCCGUAAUUGGGUUUUUCGGGAAAGGGAGGAAGUAAUUCCCCUCGUUUUGGGAUGAGCCUACGUCUCAUUAGCUAGUUGGUGGGGUAAAAGCCUACCAAGGCUUUGAUGGGUAGCUGGUCUGAGAGGAUGAUCAGCCACACUGGAACUGAAACACGGUCCAGACUCCUACGGGAGGCAGCAGUGGGGAAUCUUGCGCAAUGGACGAAAGUCUGACGCAGCAACGCCGCGUGAGUGAAGAAGGCCUUCGGGUUGUAAAGCUCUGUCGAGUGGGACGAACAAUGAGUUGGUGAAUAGCCAAUUCAUCUGACGGUACCGCUAGAGGAAGCACCGGCUAACUCCGUGCCAGCAGCCGCGGUAAUACGGAGGGUGCAAGCGUUGCUCGGAAUUAUUGGGCGUAAAGGGUAGGGUAAGGUGGUCUCAUUUGUCUGGGGUGAAAUCCUUGAGCUUAACUCAAGAAGUGCCUCAGAAACGGUGAGACUAGAGUUCUGGAGAGGGUCGUGGAAUUCCCGGUGUAGCGGUGAAAUGCGUAGAGAUCGGGAGGAACACCAGAAGGCGAAGGCGGCGACCUGGACAGAUACUGACACUAAACUACGAAAGCAUGGGGAGCAAACAGGAUUAGAUACCCUGGUAGUCCAUGCUGUAAACGAUGGGUACU
rnacentral:rRNA from 1 species